GGCGGCGUAGCUCAGUUGGUCAGAGNNCAUAUCCGCAGUGUCGGGGGUUCAAAUCCCUCCGCCGCCA
rnacentral:tRNA from 1 species